GGUCCUAUAGCUCAGCGGGAGAGCGCUCGCCUCACACGCGAGAGGUCGCUGGUUCGAAACCAGCUAGGACCACCA
rnacentral:tRNA from 1 species